rnacentral:rRNA from 1 species
GUUUGAUCCUGGCUCAGAUUGAACGCUGGCGGAAUGCUUUUACACAUGCAAGUCGAGCGGCAGCGCGGGGGCAACCUGGCGGCGAGCGGCGAACGGGUGAGUAUGUAUCGGAACGUACCCAGUCGUGGGGGAUAACACAGCGAAAGUUGUGCUAAUACCGCAUACGACCUGAGGGUGAAAGGGGGGGAUCGCAAGACCUCUCGCGAUUGGAGCGGCCGAUAUCGGAUUAGCUAGUUGGUGAGGUAAAGGCUCACCAAGGCGACGAUCCGUAGCGGGUCUGAGAGGACGACCCGCCACACUGGAACUGAGACACGGUCCAGACUCCUACGGGAGGCAGCAGUGGGGAAUUUUGGACAAUGGGGGCAACCCUGAUCCAGCCAUUCCGCGUGAGUGAAGAAGGCCUUCGGGUUGUAAAGCUCUUUCGGCAGGAACGAAACGGUUCAUCCUAAUACGGUGGGCUAAUGACGGUACCUGAAGAAGAAGCACCGGCUAACUACGUGCCAGCAGCCGCGGUAAUACGUAGGGUGCGAGCGGUAAUCGGAAUUAUUGGGCGUAAAGCGUGCGCAGGCGGUUUUAUAAGACAGAUGUGAAAUCCCCGGGCUUAACCUGGGAACUGCGUUUGUGACUGUAAGACUUGAGUGUGGCAGAGGGGGGUGGAAUUCCACGUGUAGCAGUGAAAUGCGUAGAUAUGUGGAGGAACAUCGAUGGCGAAGGCAGCCCCCUGGGUCAACACUGACGCUCAUGCACGAAGCGUGGGGAGCAAACAGGAUUAGAUACCCUGGUAGUCCACGCCCUAAACGAUGCGAAUAGGUGUUGGGGGGGGAGACUUCCUUAGUACCGCAGCUAACGCGUGAAGUUCGCCGCCUGGGGAGUACGGUCGCAAGAUUAAAACUCAAAGGAAUUGACG